GAUGAACGCUGGCGGCGUGCCUAAUACAUGCAAGUCGAGCGAACAGACGAGGAGCUUGCUCCUCUGACGUUAGCGGCGGACGGGUGAGUAACACGUGGAUAACCUACCUAUAAGACUGGGAUAACUUCGGGAAACCGGAGCUAAUACCGGAUAAUAUAUUGAACCGCAUGGUUCAAUAGUGAAAGACGGUUUUGCUGUCACUUAUAGAUGGAUCCGCGCCGCAUUAGCUAGUUUGUAAGGUAACGGCUUACCAAGGCAACGAUGCGUAGCCGACCUGAGAGGUUGAUCGGCCACACUGGAACUGAGACACGGUCCAGACUCCUACGGGAGGCAGCAGUAGGGAAUCUUCCGCAAUGGGCGAAAGCCUGACGGAGCAACGCCGCGUGAGUGAUGAAGGUCUUCGGAUCGUAAAACUCUGUUAUUAGGGAAGAACAAAUGUGUAAGUAACUAUGCACGUCUUGACGGUACCUAAUCAGAAAGCCACGGCUAACUACGUG
rnacentral:rRNA from 1 species